GAUCCUGGCUCAGGAUGAACGCUAGCGACAGGCUUAACACAUGCAAGUCGAGGGGCAGCAUAAAAGUAGCAAUACUUGGUGGCGACCGGCGCACGGGUGAGUAACGCGUAUGCAACCUACCUAUCAGAGGGGAAUAACCCGGCGAAAGUCGGACUAAUACCGCAUAAAACAGGGACACCGCAUGGUGAUAUUUGUUAAAGAAAUUCGCUGAUAGAUGGGCAUGCGUUCCAUUAGGUAGUUGGUGAGGUAACGGCUCACCAAGCCGACGAUGGAUAGGGGAACUGAGAGGUUGGUCCCCCACACUGGUACUGAGACACGGACCAGACUCCUACGGGAGGCAGCAGUGAGGAAUAUUGGUCAAUGGGCGAGAGCCUGAACCAGCCAAGUCGCGUGAAGGAAAAGGGAGGAUCUAUGGUUCGUAAACUUCUUUUGCAGGGGAAUAAAGUGCAGGACGUGUCCUGUUUUGUAUGUACCCUGAGAAUAAGGAUCGGCUAACUCCGUGCCAGCAGCUGC
rnacentral:rRNA from 1 species